CGGAGGGUCAUUAUAGAGUUUUCUAAACUCCCAACCCAUGUGAACUUACCUUUUGUUGCCUCGGCAGAAGUUAUAGGUCUUCUUAUAGCUGCUGCCGGUGGACCAUUAAACUCUUGUUAUUUUAUGUAAUCUGAGCGUCUUAUUUUAAUAAGUCAAAACUUUCAACAACGGAUCUCUUGGUUCUGGCAUCGAUGAAGAACGCAGCGAAAUGCGAUAAGUAAUGUGAAUUGCAGAAUUCAGUGAAUCAUCGAAUCUUUGAACGCACAUUGCGCCCAUUAGUAUUCUAGUGGGCAUGCCUGUUCGAGCGUCAUUUCAACCCUUAAGCCUAGCUUAGUGUUGGGAAUCUACUUCUCUUAGGAGUUGUAGUUCCUGAAAUACAACGGCGGAUUUGUAGUAUCCUCUGAGCGUAGUAAUUUUUUUCUCGCUUUUGUUAGGUGCUAUAACUCCCAGCCGCUAAACCCCCAAUUUUUUGUGGUUGACCUCGGAUCAGGUAGGAAUACCCGCUGAACUUAAGCAUAUCAAUAAGCGGAGGAAAAGAAACCAACAGGGAUUGCCUUAGUAACGGCGAGUGAAGCGGCAACAGCUCAAAUUUGAAAUCUGGCCCUUGGGUCCGAAUUGUAAUUUGUAGAGGAUGAUUUUGGUGCGGUAUCUUCCGAGUUCCUUGGAACAGGACGCCUUAGAGGGUGAGAGCCCCGUACGGUUGAAUGCCUAGCCUCUGUAAAUCUCCUUCGACGAGUCGAGUAGUUUGGGAAUGCUGCUCUAAAUGGGAGGUAAAUUUCUUCUAAAGCUAAAUAUUGGCCAGAGACCGAUAGCGCACAAGUAGAGUGAUCGAAAGAUGAAAAGCACUUUGAAAAGAGGGUUAAAUAGCACGUGAAAUUGUUGAAAGGGAAGGAUUUGUGACCAGACUUUUUCUGGGCGGAUCAUCCGGGGUUCUCUCCGGUGCACUUCGCCCAGUAAAGGCCAGCAUCGGUUUUCGGCGUGGGAUAAAAGCAGUAGGAAUGUGGCUCUCUACGGGGAGUGUUAUAGCCUAUUGUAUAAUACCGCGCUGGGGACCGAGGUUCGCGCUUCUGCA
rnacentral:rRNA from 1 species